AGUUGAUGUUGUGGUCCUCUCUCUCACUCUCUGUGGUUCUAGCUUUAGAAGAUGGAGUAAGGAGAGGGUAGCAAUCAAGGAGGACCGCAAGGAAUAAUGGAGCAUCAUCACUCUUUUAAAUGAGCAUCACUAUUGAGAACCACAAAAAUCUACUCAUGCAAGUGAAUGGUUGCUGCCGCAUCAACCAUAUGCAUAUUGCUCAUCAAGUUCCAAAUAUUGCUUUACUAUUUUUAUUAACAGAUUUGGAUUGGAAUAUAUAAUUAUACUCAUUCUGAAUGACCCUAAUUAUAAUUAGGGUUGUAUUGUGUGUUGUAUGCCUUAGAUGUUUACAACCUAUUCUGGAUGUCUGUAAUUAUAAAGUUUAUGACUCAUUUUGUAUGAUGUUUGUAAGUUUUUGAUUUGGAUGAA